rnacentral:rRNA from 1 species
AAAUGCAGAGUGCAUGAAGUGGAAACACUUCUUCCCUUCGGGCUCUUUGCAAGGUGCUGCAUGGUUGUCGUCAGCUCGUGCCGUGAGGUGUCGGGUUAAGUCCCAUAACGAGCGCAACCCUUAUCGUUAGUUGCCAGCGGGUAAAGCCGGGAACUCUAGCGAAACUGCCGGUGUAAACCGAGAGGAAGGUGGGGAUGACGUCAAAUCAGCACGGCCCUUAUGUCCAGGGCUACACACGUGUUACAAUGGCCGGUACAGAGGGCAGCUACCUGGAGACAGGAUGCGAAUCUCGAAAGCCGGUCUCAGUUCGGAUCGGAGUCUGCAACUCGACUCCGUGAAGCUGGAUUCGCUAGUAAUCGCGCAUCAGCCAUGGCGCGGUGAAUACGUUCCCGGGCCUU